GGUGCAUUAGCUCAGAGGUUUAGAGCAUCGUGCUUAUAGUCGUAAUUUUGACGUCUAUGUCUACGUCACUUCACCGUUUCAAGAAACGCGAUGGUCGCGGGUUCAAACCCCGCAUGCACCA
rnacentral:tRNA from 1 species